rnacentral:lncRNA from 1 species
AUCGCAUUCUCGGAAGACACUGGCCCGCCUGAGCAGUCAGAUAUACGAACAGUGGAUCCUUUUAGGAAGGUAGUGAUGAUGAUCAAGCGCCACAAAAUGGUAACUUUGAUAAUGAAUGCGUCCAGAAUGACUGUGUCGACGCUAAAGGAUUAUUACUGAUGUCGACAUAUACGGCCCGAAUAACAGCAUUCCGUCUCCGGUGGAGACUGACGUCGUCUUCCUCUCCUUAUCCGAAGGAAUAUAGGCAUAUGCCAGAACAUUGCUAAAAUAGCCUAAAACUCACUAAGUCAAAUCAGUGACCAUACUUAAGUAAGCUUACAAAUAAAGUAAAAAACGGCUGCGCUUCUACUGGCCACGGCGGUGAUCUCGGAAGGCGGGCCGCACACCUCAAUCAGGCGAUCGACAAUGGUGGUCCUGAGCCUUUAGCCCCCAAUUCUCAACAUCCUCAUAAUGGCGAAUAGUGCCGCCAUCACUCAGCUGGUACGCGACAAUUGGCGCCGUAUCAUCUCAUUGCAACAUCGGACCCUCCUCAGUAUUUUGCGAUUGACAUAAAAUACACGUAUCUUACAUACCUUACAUACAUGUAUGUAUGUAAUUUAUAUCAUCAUGUUUUGUAUUUUAUGUAUUUUAUAUCAUGUUGCGUAUUUUAUGUAUUUUAGGCCAAGUGGAUGGCGCAGCGGUAGCGGCGCACUUAGUUUGGCCAGGGUCCGAUCCUUCCUGGGCCUUAUCUCGACAAUUGUCGGACUGUAUCGGGGUUUGAAGAAUCUAGAUGAUACUCGAUUUUUCAAUUGAAUGCUUGGUUGUCUCUGACCAAGUUGUCC